rnacentral:rRNA from 1 species
AUGAGUAGCAACUGGAGGGCAAGUCUGGUGCCAGCAGCCGCGGUAAUUCCAGCUCCAGUAGUGUAUCCCAAAGUUGCUGCGGUUAAAACGCUCGUAGUUGGACAAUAGAGUAACUCGGUGCGGGCGGGGAGUGUAUACAACUCGAAAGAGUAUUGUUCUUCGGAACUCUGUUUAAUUGUUUUGGACCACUUGUCGACCUUGCAGCUGGGUUGCUUAGAUUAUUUUGUGAGAACAUUUUAUGGCCUUUAUUGUGCUGUGUCAUGUAUCUUGCAUAACGUGCCUUGAAUAAAUCAGAGUGCUCAAAGCAAGCUUACGCUUGAAUGUUAAUAGCAUGGAACGAAUGUUUAGUGAACGCAGCAUUAGGGAUCUUCGGAUUCCUGGUGUUGUAGCACCAACCACGGAGCAGAGCAUUGGUUGCUGU